rnacentral:rRNA from 1 species
GAUUUUUUAAUAAAGAGUUGGGCCUGCUCGGUGAUUAAUAUUUAACAGCUGCGGUAUUAUAACUGUACUAAGGUAGCAUAAUAAUUUGCUCUAUAAAUUGGGGCUAGAAUGAAUGGUUUGACGAAAAUUUGACUGUCUCUAUCUUAUUUAUUAGAAAUUAAUUUUUGUAGUGAGAAAGCUUAAAUUAUUUAAAGGGACGAAAAGACCCUAUUGAGCUUAUAUUAUUUAAUAAAUUAUAUGAUUGUUGUUUGUUUGAAUUAAUUUUGAUUGGGGUGAUCAAGGAAUAAAUUUUAUUUAAUUUAACUUCCUUAGUUAAUUGUUCUAUGGAAGAAUAAACCAAAGUUUUUGCUUAGAAGAUAAGUUACCAUAGGGAUAACAGCGUAAUUUUUUUUGAGAGUUCAUAUUGAAAAAAGAGAUUGCGACCUCGAUGUUGGAUUAAAAUUAACCUUAAGGUGAAGAGGCUUUAUUAGGUAAAUCUGUUCGAUUUUUAAAA